rnacentral:lncRNA from 1 species
AAGCUUGGUACAGGAACUUCAAAGGUUUCUCAAGCUGCAGGUCAUGGCUACCUGUGUUUCUUAGUACUGGCCUUGACUUGGCUACCACAGGCUUUUGUCUCAGUUUAUCUGCCCUGGCUGAAACCCAAAUGAUCCUGUCUCCAGCUCCAUAAGAGCAAUCAGAGGUCCCCCAAAGUCUCUGUCUGCUCCCUAGAGUCAUGGGCUGCUUCUUGUUCUGUGCGCCACACAGGCUUCCCUCCCUCCCAGUGCUGAUUUCCUGUGGACCAGAUUCCAGCACAGUGAAGGGCCAGAGCUCAGGGAACAGACCCAGCAGCACAGCAAGUCUCCAAGGGAAGCUCUAGCAGUCUCCAGGGGCUGAAGGCAGGACUGGGGAAAUGGCUAACCAGGCUGCAGAAGUCAAACGCUCCCAGUCGGCUGUCCAGCAGGCAUCUGCCUUCCUAGCCAAGUUUCCUGGGCUCCUGCCACAGAUCUAAGCCUCAUCCUGACAUCCUGCCCUCUGUGCUCUGGGAUGGCCCAGGGGAGAUGCUUAGCCUUGGCUUCUUGUCUGCUGGUGGAGGGGACACACACCCUUUCUGGACCACAGACCAAAAAGAAGACCUGACGUCAUCUUGAGCACCCACCCCUGCCAUGCAGAGUGUGUUUGCAGACUGCCAACGGGCUGGCUCCGGCCAGCAGAAGUGAACAGAGGUGGAGGUUCAGCCUGACAGCUUCUCUCCAAAGCCAUGGAGAGAGAACCUUACCACCCCCACCACCCAGCUACUUCCAGCAAGUUGUCCAGCCUGAUCCCUCUAUUUCCCCUGUUGUCUCUUAGCUGGCUCCCCGAGACCCACCCCAUCUCCAAUAAAGAACAUUGCAUACUGCG